CAUCUAUUUUGGCAUGAAGCCUGGUCUGGGAGUGGCUGUUGUGCUUUUUUUGGGUUCAAACUGCCAGAGUGUGUAGCACUCAGGAAGUCAUGUUUCCUGCUGGGCCAGAGUCAGUAGACUGGCCCUGAAACUACUUGAUUACCUUCUUGAAGUCUGUGGUCAGCAGGAGCAUCCCACAGGCAUACAGUUUAUAUCAGGAACCGUGAGGAUUGAUACCCCUUAUAUGUUUGUGAC
rnacentral:lncRNA from 1 species